rnacentral:rRNA from 1 species
UGCAGUCGAACGAGAACGGAUUAUAGCUUGCUAUAAUUGUCAGCUAAGUGGCGCACGGGUGAGUAAUAUAUAGAUAACCUGCCCUCAAGAAAGGAAUAACAGUUGGAAACGACUGCUAAUGCCCUAUAUGCCUUUAAUACAUAAGUAUGCAAGGGAAACGCUUUAGUGCUUGAGGAUGGGUCUGUAUGGUAUCAGCUUGUUGGUGAGGUAAUGGCUCACCAAGGCUAUGACGCCUAACUGGUUUGAGAGGAUGAUCAGUCACACUGGAACUGAGACACGGUCCAGACUCCUACGGGAGGCAGCAGUGGGGAAUAUUGCACAAUGGACGAAAGUCAGAUGCAGCAACGCCGCGUGGAGGAUGACACAUUUCGGUGCGUAAACUCCUUUUAUAUGGGAAGAUAAUGACGGUACCAUAUGAAUAAGCACCGGCUAACUCCGUGCCAGCAGCCGCGGUAAUACGGAGGGUGCAAGCGUUACUCGGAAUCACUGGGCGUAAAGAGCGUGUAGGCGGAUAUAUAAGUCAGAAGUGAAAUCCAAUAGCUUAACUAUUGAACUGCUUUUGAAACUGUAUAUCUAGAAUGUGGGAGAGGUAGAUGGAAUUUCUGGUGUAGGGGUAAAAUCCGUAGAGAUCAGAAGGAAUACCGAUUGCGAAGGCGAUCUACUGGAACAUUAUUGACGCUGAG